rnacentral:piRNA from 1 species
UGAACCAGGAUUAUCUGAGAGAUUGGU